CGUCAUCGGACUUACUCCUCCUCCCAAAGUCCGAUACUGGAAUGCGGCACUCCUCCUCCCAGCCGCGUUCAAAGAUUGGGCCGCGCAUCCUCCUCCCGCGCGGCCUUUUUU
rnacentral:sRNA from 1 species